UACAGAGGGUGCGAGCGUUAAUCGGAAUUACUGGGCGUACAGCGCACGUAGGUGGCUAUGUAAGUCGGGUGUGAAAUCCCCGGGCUCACCCUGGGAAUUGCGCAUGAUACUGCGGCGCUUGAAGACGGGAGAGGAUGGCGGAAUUCCCAGUGUAGAGGUGAAAUUCGUAGAUAUUGGGAAGAACACCGGUGGCGAAGGCGGCCAUCUGGCCCGUAAUUGACGCUGAGGCGCGAAAGCGUGGGGAGCAAACAGG
rnacentral:rRNA from 1 species